rnacentral:rRNA from 1 species
UACGUAGGGUGCGAGCGUUGUCCGGAAUUACUGGGCGUAAAGAGCUCGUAGGCGGUUUGUCGCGUCGUCCGUGAAAACUUGGGGCUCAACCCCAAGCUUGCGGGCGAUACGGGCAGACUUGAGUACUGCAGGGGAGACUGGAAUUCCUGGUGUAGCGGUGAAAUGCGCAGAUAUCAGGAGGAACACCGGUGGCGAAGGCGGGUCUCUGGGCAGUAACUGACGCUGAGGAGCGAAAGCGUGGGGAGCAAACAGG